GGAAAGGUGUCCGAGUGGUUAUGGAGCUAGGUUUAGGCCCUAGUGCGAAAGCUCGCGGGUUCGAGUCCCGCCCUUUUCA
rnacentral:tRNA from 1 species